CUUUGUUAAAUUAUAUUUAUAUAGCUUUUGAAAUAAUUUCAUUAAUUAAGUUAUGAAUAUGUCUUUGUUUGGAAGUAAUUAUAUUAUUAUUGUUUGUUUAGCUUGAAAGGAUAGGACCCCAACAUCAAGCAGGAAGCGACAGUUUGAUAACUGGUGCAUCAUUUUUUAAAAUGAGAGAGAUGUUCUUUGAAGAUAACAUCGAUGACGCAAAAUAUUGUGGACAUCUGUAUGGUCUCGGAACAUCUUACAUUCACAACGGGAAUUCGUAUCCAGAUGAUGCUCCUUCGUCCGGGACUCUCUCUUCCUGACCUUGAAGAAUCGUGUCGAAAUGUCGAAUCCAAAUGAAAGACCAGCGAUGUACAGACUUCUUACAAGCAUUUUGAUUGCUAGGCAUUUGUAGUCUUGCAUGUGACACCUUUACAUGUCAGUUCUUAGACUUCUAUUAAUUCAACGUAUGAGGUGUGAUUUAUAUGUUUUGGAAUCAAAAGGAAUUUUUUCAGAGGGAAUGGAAAAAAAAAAACA